AAUAUUGCACAAUGGAGGGAACUCGGAUGCAGCAACGCCGCGUGAGUGAAGAAGGUUUUCGGAUCGGAAAAAUAUGUCAUUGGGGAAGAAUAAAUGACGGUACCCAAUGAGCAAUCCCCGGCUCACUACGUGCCAGCAGCCGCGGUAAUACGUAGGGGGCGAGCGUUGUCCGGAAUUACUGGGCGUAAAGGGUACGUAGGCGGCUAUAUAAGUCAGGUGUGAAAUACCAGUGCUUAACACUGGAAUUGCAUUUGAAACUGUGUAGCUUGAGUGCAGGAGAGGAAAGUGGAAUUCCUAGUGUAGCGGUGAAAUGCGUAGAGAUUAGGAGGAACACCAGUGGCGAAGACGACUUUCUGGACUGUAACUGACGCGGAGGUACGAAAGCGUGGGUAGCGAACA
rnacentral:rRNA from 1 species